AAAUUUUUUACUUUGUGUGUUUGGUCUUCAAAGGUUCAUUUAAAAAUUCUUCAUAUUGGGUGUUGUAAUAAUAGCUGGUUGCUUUCUUACAGAGCUAUAAAAAAAAUUUCCUAUGUUUUGAUGGAGAAAUGCCAUCUAAGCAGGUGUUGUUGAAGGCAUUCCUGUCCAGGAAGGAAGAAGGAGAAAAGAAGACAAGAAGGAUAAGCUUGUGCAGCUGGUGCCAUGUUAGGCAGACUGGAAUCAGCCCUGAUAUGCCCCAGCAGGCAUCUGGAGCCCAUUAGUGCUGCAUCAGGUGGACAAGCACAGAAUGGAAAUACAAGUUCACAAGGUCUGAGGCCAGGAAAUAAAUACGCACAGCAUUAGUAUGACA
rnacentral:lncRNA from 1 species